CUACUGCUGCCACUGCUACUACUACUACUACUACCACCACCACCAUUACCACUGCUGCUGCUACUGCUACUACUACUACUACUACCACUACCACCAUUACCACUGCUGCUACUGCUGCUACUGCUACUACUACUACCACCAUUACCACUGCUGCUACUGCUGCUACUGCUACUACUACCACUACUACUACUACUACUACUACCACCAUUACCACUGCUGCUGCUACUGCUACUACUACUACUACUACUACUACCACCAUUACCACUGCUGCUGCUACUACUACUACUACUACUACUACUACCACCAUUACCACUGCUGCUGCUACUACUACUACUACUACUACUACUACUACCACUACUACUACUACUACUACUACCACCAUUACCACUGCUGCUACUGCUGCUACUACUACUACUACUACUACUACCACCACCACCAUUACCACUGCUGCUGCUACUGCUACUACUACUACCACUACUACUACUACUACUACUACCACCAUUACCACUGCUGCUGCUACUGCUACUACUACUACUACUACUACUACUACCACCAUUACCACUGCUACUGCUACUACUACUACUACUACUACUGCUACUACCACCAUUACCGCUGCUGCUGCUGCUACUACUACUACUACUACUACUGCUAUUACUACUACUACUACUACUACUACUACUACUACUACCACCAUUACCACUGCUGCUACUGCAACUACUACUACCACCAUUACCACUGCUGCUACUGCUGCUACUGCUACUACUACUACUGCUACUACUACUACUACUGCUAUUACUGCUACUACUACUACUACUACUACCACCAUUACCACUGCUGCUGCUGCUACUACUACUACUACUACUACUACUACUACCACCAUUACCACUGCUGCUGCUACUGCUGCUACUACUACUACUACCAUUACCACUGCUGCUGCUACUGCUACUACUACUACUACCACUACUACUACCACUACUACUACUACUACCACUACUACUACUACCACUACUACUACUACUACUACUACUACCAUUACCACUGCUGCUGCUACUGCUGCUGCUGCUACUACUACUACUACUACUACUACUACUACCACUACUACUACCACCAUUUCCACUGCUGCUGCUGCUCCUCCUCCUACUACUACUACUACUACUACUACUACUACCACCACCAUUACCACUGCUACUACUACUACUACCACCACCACCAUUACCACUGCUGCUACUACUACUACUACUACCACCACCACCAUUACCACUGCUGCUACUACUACUACUGCUACUACUACUACUGCUGCUACUACUACUACUACUACUGCUACUGCUGCUACAGUAAUACUACUACCACUACUGCUUCUGCUGCUACUACUGCAGUCACUACUACUAGUGCUGCUGUUGCUGUUACUACAGUUACUGCUACAGGUAUUACUGUAACGACUACUACUACCAAUACAGACUACUACUAUGUUUCUACUGCCCUUACCAGACUGCCUCAGAGCCUCCUGAACCAAAGCAUCAAUCAAUCUUCAACACAUCCUUUUCUCCUCAGCUCCAUGCUACCACCUUCAUCAUCAUAUUUUGUGAACUGGGACAUUUGCAAUGGGAUUUGUUUUGCCUUUUUGAACAAGGAGGUAGAAUCAAUGUGAGCAUGACUUUACAUUUGUGUUGUAUGUGUUCCUGAAUGCUACAUGUUCCUGCUUGCCAGUGUGUGUGUGUGUGUGUGUGUGUGUGUGUGUGUGUGUGUGUGUGUGUGUGUGUGUGUGUGUGUGUGUGUGUGUGUGCAUUCCUGCAUGCCAGCUUGUGUGUGUAUAUGUGUGGUGAAAUCGGUAUGCUGGUCGGGAGGGCUGUGUUGUUUUGUAUGCUGGUCGGGAGGGCUGUGUUGUUUUGGAUGCUGGUCGGGAGGGCUGUGUUGUUUUGUAUGCUGGUCGGGAGGGCUGUGUUGUUUUGGAUGCUGGUCGGGAGGGCUGUGUUGUUUUGUAUGCUGGUCGGGAGGGCUGUGUUGUUUUGGAUGCUGGUCGGGAGGGCUGUGUUGUUUUGGAUGCUGGUCGGGAGGGCUGUGUUGUUUUGGAUGCUGGUCGGGAGGGCUGUGUUGUUUUGGAUGCUGGUCGGGAGGGCUGUGUUGUUUUGGAUGCUGGUCGGGAGGGCUGUGUUGUUUUGGAUGCUGGUCGGGAGGGCUGUGUUGUUUUGGAUGCUGGUCGGGAGGGCUGUGUUGUUUUGGAGGUUGAUAGAGGGACUGAUAGACGGUUGAUAGACUGAUAGAGGGGCUAAUAGACGGUUGAUAGAGGGGCUGAUAGACGGUUGAUAGAGGGGCUAAUAGACGGUUGAUAGAGGGGCUAAUAGAUGGUUGAUAGAGGGGCUAAUAGAUGGUUGAUAGAGGGGCUAAUAGACGGUUGAUAGAGGGGCUGAUAGACGGUUGAUAGAGGGGCUAAUAGACGGUUGAUAGAGGGGCUGAUAGACGGUUGAUAGAGGGGCUAAUAGACGGUUGAUAGAGGGGCUGAUAGACGGUUGAUAGAGGGGCUGAUAGACGGUUGAUAGAGGGGCUGAUAGACGGUUGAUAGAGGGACUGAUAGAUGGUUGAUAGAGGGGCUGAUAGAUGGUUGAUAGAGGGGCUGAUAGAUGGUUGAUAGAGGGGCUGAUAGACGGUUGAUAGAGGGGCUAAUAGAUGGUUGAUAGAGGGGCUGAUAGACGGUUGAUAGAGGGGCUAAUAGACGGUUGAUAGAGGGGCUGAUAGACGGUUGAUAGAGGGGCUGAUAGACGGUUGAUAGAGGGGCUGAUAGACGGUUGAUAGAGGGGCUGAUAGAUGGUUGAUAGAGGGGCUGAUAGAUGGUUGAUAGAGGGGCUGAUAGAUGGUUGAUAGAGGGGCUGAUAGAUGGUUGAUAGAGGGACUGAUAGAGGGGCUGAUAGACGGUUGAUAGAGGGGCUGAUAGAUGGUUGAUAGAGGGGCUAAUAGACGGUUGAUAGAGGGGCUGAUAGAUGGUUGAUAGAGGGGCUGAUAGAUGGUUGAUAGAGGGGCUGAUAGAUGGUUGAUAGAGGGGCUGAUAGAUGGUUGAUAGAGGGGCUGAUAGAUGGUUGAGAGGGGCUGAUAGAUGGUUGAUAGAGGGACUGAUAGAGGGGCUGAUAGACGGUUGAUAGAGGGGCUGAUAGAUGGUUGAUAGAGGGGCUAAUAGACAGUUGAUAGAGGGGCUGAUAGAUGGUUGAUAGAGGGGCUGAUAGAUGGUUUAUAGAGGGGCUGAUAGACGGUUGAUAGAGGGGCUGAUAGACGGUUGAUAGAGGGGCUAAUAGACGGUUGAUAGAGGGGCUGAUAGAUGGUUGAUAGAGGGGCUGAUAGAUGGUUGAUAGAGGGGCUGAUAGAUGGUUGAUAGAGGGGCUGAUAGAUGGUUGAUAGAGGGGCUGAUAGAUGGUUGAUAGAGGGACUGAUAGAUGGUUGAUAGAGGGGCUGAUAGAUGGUUGAUAGAGGGGCUGAUAGACGGUUGAUAGAGGGGCUGAUAGACGGUUGAUAAAGGGCUGAUGGAGGGGUUGAUAGAUGCUUGAUAGAGGGGCUGAUAGAUGCUUGAUAGAGGGGCUGAUAGAUGGUUGAUAGAGGGGCUGAUGGAGGGGCUGAUAGACAGCUGAUAGAGGGGCUGAUAGAGAGGAUGUCUUAGGGACCAGAUGUUGGAGCAACCUUAAGUGCAGUAAUUAGAAGAGGCAGCAGGAUCAGGUGCAAAACAGUUUCCAGUUUAUUAACAGUGAAAGGUGGUUCCCGGUGAAUGACAAAAUCCAUUCAAUAUUUACAUAAUCUAUAAAGGUAUUUACAAAAUGGUAUUUACACCCUCUCCAGAGGGUGGUGCGGUCUGCACAUCGCAUCACCGGGGGAAAACUACCUGCCCUCCAAGACACCUACAGCACCCGAUGUCACAGGAAGGCCAAAAAGAUCAUCAAUGACAUCAACCAUCUGAGCCACUGCCUGUUCGCACCACUACAAUCCAGAAGGAGAGGUCAGAGGAAAGGGUAUGAAGCGAG
rnacentral:lncRNA from 1 species